GAGGAUUUGAGAAGAGGUUGCAGAUGAUCAAGGAGCGACACGUGCAGGGAUGGCUUGAAAAGGGUGAUUAGCUUCAGGUUCCAGGUGGGACCUAGUGGUAACUGAGUUGCAGGUAUUCCAUGACAGAGCUCCUUCUGCCUGGGCUGCUUUUUGGGGUAAGCGCUUUGUUUUUCCUUCAGUCAGUUGCAGGGUUCUUUAGGUGGGUCAGAGUCUAUGGACUGAUGCGUUUUCCAGUAGAAACCGGUACGCAUAUCUUUUUGAGUUGGUAACUGGUAGGAUCUGUCACUGUAAAGCAAUCUAGUAGUAGGUGCCUGUAUUGCACGCAGCUCUUCCUCAGCAGUAGGUAAACAUUAGGAGGAACCGGUCAAAGGUAACAGCGCUUUCUGGAACCGUCAAGUUCUUGUUCGGCAACGUAGUGACUGGUUUGAUCUACUUCACAGAUGGAGAGGCAAGUGGACUGCUCUCUUUGAAAUAAUAAAAUUGAAAACAUAAAGUUUGUCAAAGAUGGCAGUGCAUGUUUGCAGUCUGUUUAUUGCUUUUGCCAGUGGUAGAUAACAUUUAUAAGGAAUCGGUCAAAGGAAAGAGCGCCUUCUGGAACUGUGAAGCUCUGUGUUGGCAACUCGGUGACUGGCUGGACCUACUGUCCAUCUCCAGAGGGAAGCGGACUGCUGUUUUGAAAUUAAAAAA